AGCGAACGUUAGCGGCGGGCCUAACACAUGCAAGUCGAACGCGAAAGGUCUUCGGACUGAGUAGAGUGGCGCACGGGUGAGUAACACGUAGGUAAUCUACCCUUUGGCGGGGGAUAACGUUCCGAAAGGAGCGCUAAUACCGCAUAAGACCACGGAGUCUCCGGACGCUGUGGGAAAAGGUGGCCUCUUCUUGAAAGCUACCACCGAAGGAUGAGCCUGCGUCCCAUCAGCUAGUUGGUAAGGUAAUGGCUUACCAAGGCGAAGACGGGUAGCUGGUUUGAGAGAAUGAUCAGCCACACUGGCACUGGAACACGGGCCAGACUCCUACGGGAGGCAGCAGUGAGGAAUAUUGGGCAAUGGGCGAAAGCCUGACCCAGCCACGCCGCGUGAGUGAUGAAGGCCCUCGGGUCGUAAGCUCUGUGGAGAGGGACGAAAACCCUGG
rnacentral:rRNA from 1 species